rnacentral:rRNA from 1 species
ACGGAGGGGGCAAGCGUUGUUCGGAAUUACUGGGCGUAAAGGGCGUGUAGGCGGUUACGUAAGUCAGUUGUGAAAGCCCCGAGCUUAACUUGGGAAUUGCACUUGAAACCGUGUAGCUAGAGUUUUGGAGAGGAAAGCGGAACUCCCAGUGUAGCGGUGAAAUGCGUAGAUAUUGGGAGGAACACCGGUGGCGAAGGCGACUAUCUGGACAAAUUCUGACGCUGAGGCGCGAAAGCUAGGGGAGCAAACGG